rnacentral:miRNA from 8 species
CCAAUUUUCCAUGUUCCUGUGC